AUUGAACGCUGGCGGCAUGCCUUACACAUGCAAGUCGAACGGUAACGGGCCUUCGGGUGCCGACGAGUGGCGAACGGGUGAGUAAUGCAUCGGAACGUACCUUUCAGUGGGGGAUAACGUAGCGAAAGUUACGCUAAUACCGCAUAUUCUGUGAGCAGGAAAGCAGGGGAUCGCAAGACCUUGCGCUGAUUGAGCGGCCGAUGUCAGAUUAGCUAGUUGGUGAGGUAAAGGCUCACCAAGGCGGCGAUCUGUAGCGGGUCUGAGAGGAUGAUCACCCACACUGGAACUGUGACACGGUCCAGACUCCUACGGGAGGCAGCAGUGGGGAAUUUUGGACAAUGGGGGCAACCCUGAUCCAGCCAUGCCGCGUGAGUGAAGAAGGCCUUCGGGUUGUAAAGCUCUUUCGGUCGGGAAGAAAUCGCAUGGGUCAAUACCCUGUGCGGAUGACGGUACCGGCAUAAGAAGCACCGGCUAACUACGUGCCAGCCGCCGCUGUAAAAC
rnacentral:rRNA from 1 species